UGGCGGGGACGAUUCAAGCGCCGAGAGAGUCUAAGGUGCGUCGCCGCUCGAUUCUUCCGGGCGCUUGACGUGAAAUGGCGCUGGACCGUGACAUCGCUGCGACCGCCGCGCAGCUGGAGCACCAGCGCGUGGAUGACUUGAGGCGCUCCAAUGCGGCAGCGCUGUUCGAGGGCUUGCUGAUGGCUACUGCGAAUCAGCUCCAGCCGACGCAGCAAGAUUUCGAGGCCAGAGUAGAUAUUUUGCGGCGGCUGGAGUAUUUGAUAAGAGAAAUCGAUGUUUGCAAAGGCUUGGCGAUUAAACCUUUUGGAUCGUUCCUGUCAAACUUGUAUACGCCUUGGGGAGAUUUAGAUAUUACUUUGAUGCCGCUUGAGUCGGCACCGCUUUCCAGGAGCAAAAAGACCAAAAUUCUGAAGUCUAUCCAUGAUGCUCUACUUCAAGCUGGUGGAGCGAUUCGUGUCCAAGUUCUGUUUCGGCCUCGCGUUCCACUCUUAAUGUUUGAAGAUGCAUGGUGGAGAAUCUCAUGUGACAUCUCCGUGAGCAAUACCGACGCUGUUUUCAAGUCACACGCCCUGGGCCUGAUUGUUGGUAUGGAUUUAAGGUGCAGGCAGCUCAUCUUCCUCGUGAGUGUUAAGUGCUGGGCCAAAGCGCAGUGCAUUAACGAUCCAAAGAUGGGGACCUUGAACUCGUAUGCACUGUCUUUACUCGUUAUAUUUCAUCUCCAAACUCGAAAUCCACCUAUUUUGCCACCAUUGAGCGCUAUCAUCGGUCAAGUCGGUGCCUCAGCUGAUGGCUUUCAGUAUCUAAGCAGGAUCGCAGAGUUUACAGAAAGAGGUUUUGGGAAGGGAAAUACGAGCUCAGUUGCAGAGUUGUUCGUGUCAUUUUUUGGCCAGUUUUCGGCUGUUGAGGAGUUGUGGAUUCAAGGUCUAGCUGUGUGUACUUUCCGUGGACAGUGGGGGGACAAAACGACCACCGAUCCGUCAUGGGCAAGCAAGAAUUAUGCGAUGCUGGUGGAAGACCCGUUUGAUUUAUCUGAAAACUGCGCAAGAUCCGUGCAUCAAGGCAGCCUUCAACAUGUUUGCAAGGCAUUUAGGCUGAGUCACGAGCUACUGUGCGAUAAAUUCUCCUACUGGUUCUUGGGAAAACUGAAAGAAACGCUCUUCCGGUGGCCACAUGCGAGUCCACGGCCCUGUUUUCAUCCGUCGAGGCCAGGGAUAGAGCAGCUACGGGAACACGCCUCGCUCAACGCUUCCAGGAAGAAUGACAGGCCGGAGAAGCAAAAGAAAGGAAAGAAACAAGUAAAGCAAUAACAUCACAGCAGGAUGUAAAUAUCUCAACAUAGGAUUUUAUCGUGAUGCCGUGGUCGAGCGAGGAAGUUUGGAUCAGAAAACAGAAAAGAACUAAGUUAUACCCAGCUUUUCAACCGAAAUACGGGAACCAACAGUAUCGCUCUUCUUUCUCCUAGUCAGCAGGAGUCUGGAUUUGCAGUCGGAUAGUAUAUAGAAUGCCAUUUGCAAGAAGCUCAGUAGCCUGCGUAGCAACAAUGAAGAAAGCUACUAUUGAGCCAGCAGCCCGAGUGUCACGCACAUUGGCGGAGUUCUUGAACCCUGCAAGCUACAAUCUGGCGCUUGCUGGAAGGAUACAAGGACCGUGGCCAUGCUAAAAAAGUGCGAAGCUUUUGCUUUCACUCGCCGUUUCCUUCUCGAGCGUCUGAGUUACCUUCUGCUGGUCCGACUCUGCUGAGCAGCCAAGCGGUGAUUGGAUUUGAGGGAGAGCAUGCCUGAUGAACAAACUUGAGCAGGAUUCUGCAGCAAGGCUGGCGCAUCCCACUCUCAACCAGCAUGGCCACCUUCAAUCCACAGGAAAGGUUUCUGUACAUGGCCGGUGCAAUCUGCAGAGCAGCUGGACAGAUCAGUAACAGGCCCUAGGAGCGAAAAGUCGGCUCCAAAGCGGAAACUGUUUUCACACUCGACAAAGAUUGCACACAUCAACAAAAAGUUAAGACCUCAAAUAAAUGCAAGGAUCAUAUUGUUUA